GGGGUGUAGAGAGAAAAGUGCAUUCCCAUUGCGCUGCUCUUUCCUUUCUAAAAGCGCUCCUCUCCCAGUGAAAGCAUCCUCAAAUAUAAUAGAUUCCCUAAGAUUUUAGGCUCAAGUCUAUAACAGAUCACAACCUCUGGAGGUAGAAAAGAACGCUCUCUACUUUUCUGCACUACAAAGGAUCCGUAAUCUGGUUCUCCCCCCCUUUCCCUCCCCUUCCCUCUCUGCAUUCCCCGCCCCCUACACACUACACCCCCGCAGCCCAGAGCUUGGGCCCAGAGCACGUAGGCUGCUGAGCGAAGGCUUUCCGCUCAAAGUGAUCCACUUUCUAGCUGCAAUAUUCUCUCGCCUCCUUCUAAAUCGUAACACCAUUGCCGCCCCACUCCCUCAGACUCCCAUGAUUUUUAAGUCCAUCUCGAACAAAUCUCGCAAGACUUCCGGGGAAGAGCUGUAUGUCCGAAUGCUGGGGCUGCACUGGGAAGAGGAGGAACUGAAUGGAGGCUUAGCCCUAGACGCAACAGCAGCUUCCACUAGGCCCGAGCCCAAACGGAGUGAGCGCAGGAGACUGAUUUACCUCAGCAAGAAUUCCUACAUUUAAAAGACUUUGUCUUGGUCCUCAGUUUACACUUGUCUUUGCUUGUCUUGCCUAAGACACUGGACUGCAUCUAAAGAAGGCAAAGAUAAAAGAAAUAUUGUAUAUUAUUAUACAGUAUUAUACUUUCUUGGAGUGUAUGGAUGCUCAAAGAGGACUAGCACUUCUUGUGUAAGGUCUUGCUGAGCCCUUUUCAGGGCUGCUCAUCCUCCUUUGUGACUACCUGACACUGAAUUCUCACUUGUGACUCCAAGAAGCAUGUAAUAAUGGCCACACUCCAGUAAUCUUGGCAGAUGGGCUGAUGGUCCACAAAUCCAUUGCUGGACGUUGAUGACACUGGGAGAGAGAAUGAAGCUGAUGAUUUCAUGCAAUUCUGGUUCUCUUCAAUCAAAUUCAUGUAUAAAUCAAGACAUCACCCUGUGAUGAUGUAUUGGUCUUUUAUUGAAAUAAAGGACAAACAAGAA